rnacentral:rRNA from 1 species
UACGGAGGGUGCAAGCGUUAUCCGGAUUCACUGGGUUUAAAGGGUGCGUAGGUGGGCAGGUAAGUCAGUGGUGAAAUCUCCGGGCUUAACCCGGAAACUGCCAUUGAUACUAUUUGUCUUGAAUAUCCUGGAGGUGAACGGAAUAUGUCAUGUAGCGGUGAAAUGCUUAGAUAUGACAUAGAACACCAAUUGCGAAGGCAGUUCACUACGGGAUCAUUGACACUGAGGCACGGAAAGCGUGGGGAUCAAACAGG